AAAAAAAAAAACAUUGAAGCUGGUUGGAAUCAACACUCAGUCUUCUGGUGCCAGAAAAUUUUGGUGACUUGUUCAAGUUUACAACAUGCCUUUAAAUAAGAAAAGCCGUAUCAGGCAUGCUGCUGUCAGGAAUAGGGGAGAACAGUGCCAGGAAAAGAGGACAGGGUGCAUCCACUGCUUCUCCGCUUUGCAAGUAUUGUCCCACAGGCAAGAGAAGAAAAUGUCCCAGACUCUGAAAUAUUCAUCAAAGCAGGAGAAAAAAUAUCUUCCACAGGACACCAUCAAAACCCUGAAACAAAUACAGUGUGAUCAAGAAAUGUAUUUAAUCUUUUUGAACCUGUGGAAGUAGUAACAUAUUAGGUAAUCCAGGACUCUUAAUACAGGUUUAUAUUGUUUAUGUUUAGAAUUUAUGUACUGUGGUUAAAAGCCUUAUUGAUGUACAAUUAUUUUUCUCUGGUUUUUGUAUUUUGCCAUUGGUCCCAUUACAAUUGUGUGGUGAAGUCUACUUGUAGAUAUUUUGCUUUUAACUGUAGAUGUUUCAUGAUGUAGUCUUUCUAUACUUUUUGACUCCUUGAUCACUCUUUUACUGCUGAUUUCUGAACUCCCCUUUUGCAGUCUUUUCCCAAUAAAAGGUCACU